ensembl:lncRNA
GAAAAACAUUUCUCCUGGUGGGUUGUGAAGCUGUUCAGCCUCUUGUCAGCUCUGUGUGCAGCUGAGGUGAAUAAGCAUGCAUGCAGUUGCCAAAAUGGGUUUCCUGAGUGAGUGAUCCUGGAGAAAGGAGCUGGCAAGGAGGCUAAAGGAAGCUGGCUUUUGUUCAGUGUUUUAUGGUUCUCUUUACUUUCACUUCCCAUAUAAAAAAGCUGAAGGGAGGAAAAGAGUGAUUAAAAAGAAUAGGAACGAUCUCUAGAUGACUGAAUGAAAUUCUAUCUUUUUUUUUUUUUUUUUUUUUGCUUCUGGGCCAGUCGGUGAGGUUAGAGAAAUAAUUAUCCUUGUCGGUGGCUGUGUAUAUCAACCCAGUGAGGAGGCUGAGAUCUGUAAGAAAAGAAGUGGUCAAGUUUUCAUCUAGUCUGAUGUCCUGUGUAUUAUGGGGUUACACAAAGAGCUUCCUACAAGGAAACCCUCCUCUCCACUGCCAAGGGCUUCAAAUACCUUUGGAAGAUGAAAGACUUCAUAGGUAGAUCACACCUUGAUGACUGAGUAUUUCAAUCUAAUUCAUCUGGUGAACUACUGAAAAAUUAAAUUGUCUUGUGUCUGUGUUUCUAUGUGAGAUGAAGACGCACAUCUUCCUGAAAUAAGCACUCUGCUGAUAAAGAGGAUGGACUGAAGGCAAAAUGAUGGAUUACAAGAGACAACUGUAUAGGCAAAAGUGGAACAUGGAUCUUUAUUAAUGAGAAGUUCUGUCACAUUAAGAAAUUUCACAUGCUCAUGGAAGAUGUUACUGAAAAUGUGUGGUCAAGAGAUGAUCUUCUCUGGGACA